rnacentral:lncRNA from 10 species
UGAGACUCCAUCUCAAACAAAAAAAAAAAUACAUAACAAACAAACAACAAAACAAACAAACAACAACAAAAAGAAAAGAAAAGAAAAGAAAUGGGUCUUAGCCAGUGUGGAAGACAUUACUAUGUUUCACCAUUAUCCAGUUUGGGGCACACAGAAAAUGACAUUUUCCAGCCCCUUGCACUUAGGUAGGGCCAUGCACUGCUCUAGCCAAUGAAAUCUCAGCUGAGGUGAUGACUGUCACUUCAGUUAGAGACAGACACCAGAAAGACUGCACAAUUCUCCAAUUUUUCUCUUCAUGCAUGUGGUGACCAUCUGUUUUUCAAAUGAUGCAGCUAAAGGUGGCGGGCCUUCUUUGGUGUGGAACCCUGUCUCUGCUGAUCCACACUGGACAUGUACAUGAGCAGAAAUAAAAUGUGACUCUGUAAGCCACUGAGAUUCAGGGGUUGUUUGCCACCACAGCAUAACUUAGCCUGUCCUAACCAGUACACAAAUUAGGCCAUACUUUGACUAGAUAAAAAUUCAGACUCAGACGCUUGGUCAAUAUGAGAAAGAGCAAUUUUUAAAAAGAGGAAGCUUCAGAAAUAAGAGCAGAGCUGUCCGAUUCCAGCUCUAUAUGUCUCAAAGGGAUUUUUCACAAACCCAUAAUGUGAAACAAAAUGUGA